UUAACCAGUGGGAAUAACCAUUUUAAAAGAUCACUAGAGGGAGGCUUGAACUGCUCCGUCAUUCUGUCCUGAAAACUACAUCAUGUUCUCUGCAGUUUUGGUUUUGCUCCUGGCAAGUGUAAACUGUAUUGAUUCAGAAGAACUCACUCAACCUGAGUCUCUGACUGUUCGUCCUGAUGCCACUCUCACUAUCAACUGUAAAGUCUCCUAUUCAGUUACAAGCUAUUAUACAGCCUGGAUUCGUCAACCUGCAGGAAAAGCUCUGGAGUGGAUUGGAUGGAUCUGGAGUGAUGGAAGCACAGCCUACAAGGAUUCCCUGAAAAGCAAGUUCAGUAUCAGCAGAGACACUUCCAGUGACACAAUAACACUGAAAGGACAGAAUAUGAGAGCUGAAGACACAGCUGUGUAUUAUUGUGCCAGACACACAGUGACAGACGCUAAUAAGAAUCCUUGGCAUGACACAUAUUGA